UGGGAUGAUGCCACAUAGGCGGGGGAUGCUGGAACGCGCCCCCUUCAAAACGGAACACACCAUGCAAGUGUUCCGCCUCAGGAUGGGACUGCGGCGGAUUAGGUAGUUGGCGGGGUAAAUGCCCACCAAGCCUACGAUCCGUACGGGCCUUGAGAGAGGGAGCCCGGAGAAGGACACUGAGGAAAGGGUCCUAGCCCUACGGGGUGCAGCAGGCGCGAAAAUUCUGCAAUGCACGAAAGUGUGACAGAGGGAUUUCGAGUGCAAGCUUUGCUUGCUUUUGCCAACUCCAAAAAGGUUGGCGAAUAAGGGGGGGGUAAGAUACGUGCCAGCCGCCGCGGUAAUACGUACUCCCCGAGUGGUAUCCACUAAUAUUGGGCCUAAAGCGUCCGUAGCCGGUCCUGUAAGUCCUUGGUGAAAUCAACGGGCUCAACUCGUUGAAUGGCCUGGGAUACUGCAGGGCUCGAGGUCGGGAGAGGUGAAUGGAAUUUCCGGAGUAGGAGUGAAAUCUAGUGAUCCCGGAAGGACCCCCAGUAGCGAAGGCGAUUCACCAGAACGAGCCUGACGGUGAGGGACGAAAGCUGAGGGAGCGACCCGGAUUAGAUUUGGAAUUGAGGAAAGGCAAAAAGCCCUGGUUAUUUUUUGUAAGGUUCCGAACCUUAUGCUUAACCAACCAGCGCUUUCUUUCUUCGUUCCACUAAAAACCCGGUUAGUCUCAGCCGUAAACGAUGCGGACUAGGUGUCCUAGCACUCACGAAGUGCGGGGGUGCCGAAGCGAAGGCGUUAAGUCCGCCGCCUGGGAAGUAUUGCCGCAAGGUUGAAACUUAAUGGAAUUGGCGGGGGCGCACUACAAGGGGUGGAUGCUGCGGUUUAAU
rnacentral:rRNA from 1 species